rnacentral:rRNA from 1 species
AGUGAACGCUGGCGGCGUGCCUAACACAUGCAAGUCGAACGAGAACGGGUUUAAGUUUACUUAAACUGUCAGCUAAGUGGCGCACGGGUGAGUAAGAUAUAGUUAACCUGCCCUCUAGAAAGGAAUAACAGUUAGAAAUGACUGCUAAUGCCUUAUAUGCCUUUUUAACAUAAGUUAGUAAAGGGAAAUGCUUUUUGUGCUAGAGGAUGGGACUGUAUAGUAUCAGAUAGUUGGUGGGGUAAUGGCCUACCAAGUCAAUGACGCUUAACUGGUUUGAGAGGAUGAUCAGUCACACUGGAACUGAGACACGGUCCAGACUCCUACGGGAGGCAGCAGUGGGGAAUAUUGCACAAUGGACGAAAGUCUGAUGCAGCAACGCCGCGUGGAGGAUGACACAUUUCGGUGCGUAAACUCCUUUUAUAUAGGAAGAUAAUGACGGUACUAUAUGAAUAAGCACCGGCUAACUCCGUGCCAGCAGCCGCGGUAAUACGGAGGGUGCAAGCGUUACUCGGAAUCACUGGGCGUAAAGAGCAUGUAGGCGGAUUGAUAAGUUUGAAGUGAAAUCCUAUAGCUUAACUAUAGAACUGCUUUGAAAACUGUUAAUCUAGAAUAUGGGAGAGGUAGAUGGAAUUUCUGGUGUAGGGGUAAAAUCCGUAGAGAUCAGAAGGAAUACCGAUUGCGAAGGCGAUCUACUGGGACAUUAUUGACGCUCAGAUGCGAAAGCGUGGGGAGCAAACAGG